rnacentral:lncRNA from 1 species
UUUUAUUUCGUUUCUUCUCAUUUCUAUCUUCUCUAUUUCGUUUCUUCUCCUUUCUAUAUUAUUUUCUUCUUCUUCCUCUUCUUCUUCUUCUUCUUCUUCUUCUUCUUCUUCUCCCUAUUCCUCUUCUUCUAACCUUAGUCGCUGCCACCAUGAGUUGCCAUCAUCCAUGGCCUUCUCCGAUCGAUUCAACCAUCAAAACACUUCUCUCUUCCUCGUCUUCUCAAAUCUUGCCUUGUAUUUCUAAGAAAAUCUCUUUAAAGCCAAAAAAAAUCAAAGCUUGAUCCUUGAGCUUUUGAAAUUAUACUCUCCACUUGCUGAUGAAAGGCUAAGGAGGCUUCUGGUGAGGUUGAAAGUGAGUUGAGGAGCCAACGGAGGCAAUAGCAGCGCCAUUUCCAAGGCAACAAUAGAGAAUCGGUUUUCUUGGAGCCUAGUAGAAGUUCUUUAGGUUAUGGAGUUAAGGGUCAACAAAUUCAAGGGAAGAAUUGCCCCUAUUGUUAAUUGGGUCUAUAGGAUUUUUAGGGUUUUCUAAAUUCUG